UACGGAGGGUGCAAGCGUUAUCCGGAUUCACUGGGUUUAAAGGGUGCGUAGGCGGGCAGGUAAGUCAGUGGUGAAAUCUCCGGGCUUAACCCGGAACUGCCGUUGAUACUAUCUGUCUUGAAUAUCGUGGAGGUAAGCGGAAUAUGUCAUGUAGCGGUGAAAUGCUUAGAUAUGACAUAGAACACCGAUUGCGAAGGCAGCUUACUACACGAUCAUUGACGCUGAGGCACGAAAGCGUGGGGAGCAAACAAG
rnacentral:rRNA from 1 species